rnacentral:rRNA from 1 species
AUUGAACGCUGGCGGCAGGCCUAACACAUGCAAGUCGAGCGGAUGAAGGGAGCUUGCUCCUGGAUUCAGCGGCGGACGGGUGAGUAAUGCCUAGGAAUCUGCCCGGUAGUGGGGGAUAACGUCCGGAAACGGGCGCUAAUACCGCAUACGUCCUGAGGGAGAAAGUGGGGGAUCUUCGGACCUCACGCUAUCAGAUGAGCCUAGGUCGGAUUAGCUAGUUGGUGGGGUAAAGGCCUACCAAGGCGACGAUCCGUAACUGGUCUGAGAGGAUGAUCAGUCACACUGGAACUGAGACACGGACCAGACUCCUACGGGAGGCAGCAGUGGGGAAUAUUGGACAAUGGGCGAAAGCCUGAUCCAGCCAUGCCGCGUGUGUGAAGAAGGUCUUCGGAUUGUAAAGCACUUUAAGUUGGGAGGAAGGGCAGUAAGUUAAUACCUUGCUGUUUUGACGUUACCAACAGAAUAAGCACCGGCUAACUUCGUG